CGAUGAGUAGGGCGGGACACGUGGUAUCCUGUCUGAAUAUGGGGGGACCAUCCUCCAAGGCUAAAUACUCCUGACUGACCGAUAGUGAACCAGUACCGUGAGGGAAAGGCGAAAAGAACCCCGGCGAGGGGAGUGAAAAAGAACCUGAAACCGUGUACGUACAAGCAGUGGGAGCACGCUUAGGCGUGUGACUGCGUACCUUUUGUAUAAUGGGUCAGCGACUUAUAUUCUGUAGCAAGGUUAACCGAAUAGGGGAGCCGAAGGGAAACCGAGUCUUAACUGGGCGUUAAGUUGCAGGGUAUAGACCCGAAACCCGGUGAUCUAGCCAUGGGCAGGUUGAAGGUUGGGUAACACUAACUGGAGGACCGAACCGACUAAUGUUGAAAAAUUAGCGGAUGACUUGUGGCUGGGGGUGAAAGGCCAAUCAAACCGGGAGAUAGCUGGUUCUCCCCGAAAGCUAUUUAGGUAGCGCCUCGUGAAUUCAUCUCCGGGGGUAGAGCACUGUUUCGGCAAGGGGGUCAUCCCGACUUACCAACCCGAUGCAAACUGCGAAUACCGGAGAAUGUUAUCACGGGAGACACACGGCGGGUGCUAACGUCCGUCGUGAAGAGGGAAACAACCCAGACCGCCAGCUAAGGUCCCAAAGUCAUGGUUAAGUGGGAAACGAUGUGGGAAGGCCCAGACAGCCAGGAUGUUGGCUUAGAAGCAGCCAUCAUUUAAAGAAAGCGUAAUAGCUCACUGGUCGAGUCGGCCUGCGCGGAAGAUGUAACGGGGCUAAACCAUGCACCGAAGCUGCGGCAGCGACACUAUGUGUUGUUGGGUAGGGGAGCGUUCUGUAAGCCUGCGAAGGUGUGCUGUGAGG
rnacentral:rRNA from 1 species